rnacentral:rRNA from 1 species
CCAUGCCGCGUGUGUGAAGAAGGCCUUCGGGUUGUAAAGCACUUUUGUACGGGAAGAAAAGCUUUCGGUUAAUACCCGGAAGUCCUGACGGUACCGUAAGAAUAAGCACCGGCUAACUUCGUGCCAGCAGCCGCGGUAAUACGAAGGGUGCAAGCGUUACUCGGAAUUACUGGGCGUAAAGCGUGCGUAGGUGGUUUGUUAAGUCUGAUGUGAAAGCCCUGGGCUCAACCUGGGAAUGGCAUUGGAUACUGGCAGUCUAGAGUGCGGUAGAGGGUAGCGGAAUUUCCGGUGUAGCAGUGAAAUGCGUAGAUAUCGGGAGGAACAUCCGUGGCGAAGGCGGCUACCUGGACCAGCACUGACACUGAGGCACGAAAGCGUGGGGAGCAAACAGGAUUAGAUACCCUGGUAGUCCACGCCCUAAACGAUGCGAACUGGAUGUUGGGGACACUUAGGUCUUCAGUAUCGAAGCUAACGCGUUAAGUUCGCCGCCUGGGAAGUACGGUCGCAAGACUG